UACGGAGGGUGCGAGCGUUGUCCGGAAUCACUGGGCGUAAAGGGCGCGUAGGCGGCCUGAUAAGUAGGGGGUGAAAUCCUGCGGCUUAACCGCAGGGCUGCCUUCUAAACUGUCAGGCUGGAGCACGGUAGAGGCAGAUGGAAUUCCCGGUGUAGCGGUGGAAUGCGUAGAGAUCGGGAAGAACAUCAGUGGCGAAGGCGGUCUGCUGGGCCGUUGCUGACGCUGAGGCGCGACAGCGUGGGGAGCAAACAGG
rnacentral:rRNA from 1 species